rnacentral:rRNA from 1 species
GAUAUGGAAUGCUAUUGCACCACAUGUGUUUUUCUUUGAAACAAACUUGCUUUGGCGGUGGGCCCAGCCUGCCGCCAGAGGUCUAAACUUACAACCAAUUUUUUAUCAACUUGUCACACCAGAUUAUUACUAAUAGUCAAAACUUUCAACAACGGAUCUCUUGGUUCUCGCAUCGAUGAAGAACGCAGCGAAAUGCGAUACGUAAUAUGAAUUGCAGAUAUUCGUGAAUCAUCGAAUCUUUGAACGCACAUUGCGCCCUCUGGUAUUCCGGAGGGCAUGCCUGUUUGAGCGUCGUUUCUCCCUCAAACCGCUGGGUUUGGUGUUGAGCAAUACGACUUGGGUUUGCUUGAAAGACGGUAGUGGUAAGGCGGGAUCGCUUUGACAAUGGCUUAGGUCUAACCAAAAACAUUGCUUGCGGCGGUAACGUCCACCACGUAUAUCUUCAAACUUUGACCUCAAAUCAGGUAGGACUACCCGCUGAACUUAAGCAUAUCAAAAGCCGGGAGGAA